GACGAACGCUGGCGGCGUGCUUAACACAUGCAAGUCGAACGGAAAGGCCCUGCUUUUGUGGGGUGCUCGAGUGGCGAACGGGUGAGUAACACGUGAGUAACCUGCCCUUGACUUUGGGAUAACUUCAGGAAACUGGGGCUAAUACCGGAUAGGAGCUCCUGCUGCAUGGUGGGGGUUGGAAAGUUUCGGCGGUUGGGGAUGGACUCGCGGCUUAUCAGCUUGUUGGUGGGGUAGUGGCUUACCAAGGCUUUGACGGGUAGCCGGCCUGAGAGGGUGACCGGCCACAUUGGGACUGAGAUACGGCCCAGACUCCUACGGGAGGCAGCAGUGGGAAAUAUUGCACAAUGGGCGGAAGCCUGAUGCAGCAACGCCGCGUGCGGGAUGACGGUCUUCGGGUUGUAAACCGCUUUCGCCUGUGACGAAGCGUGAGUGACGGUAAUGGGUAAAGAAGCACCGGCUAACUACGUG
rnacentral:rRNA from 1 species